rnacentral:rRNA from 1 species
UACGUAGGGGGCAAGCGUUGUCCGGAAUCAUUGGGCGUAAAGCGCGUGUAGGCGGCCCGGUAAGUCCGCUGUGAAAGUCGGGGGCUCAACCCUCGAAUGCCGGUGGAUACUGUCGGGCUAGAGUGCGGGAGAGGCGAGUGGAAUUCCUGGUGUAGCGGUGAAAUGCGCAGAUAUCAGGAGGAACACCAGUGGCGAAGGCGGUGCUCUGGGCCGGAACUGACGCUGAGGAGCGAAAGCGUGGGGAGCAAGCAGG